rnacentral:miRNA from 1 species
AGUAGUUGAGGCGGACGGUGGC